GUUUUCCAAAGUGGGAAACGGAUCAGAAAAUCAGCUGUGAACAGACUUUACAGAAGGGAGACGGACCCAAGACCUCCUGGACCAGAGAGCUGACCAAUGAUGGGGAACUCAUUUUGACGAUGACUGCAGGGGAUGUGGUCUGCACCAGAGUUUAUGAGCGCGAAUGAAGGAAAUUACAAAGCGCCGUUCAUACAAUACUUCACAUUUACUCUUUUCCUCUUCAGUCUCCCAUCGACCAGCCCUGUGUUCAGGUCAGAAGAGUCUCAGACCAGUCUAUGAAGGAAGAUCAGGAGUUGAUGGGUUUCAGGUGACAGCAUAAAGAUGGGGGUCAGCUAAAAUUAAUAUAGUUAUGGGUCAGUCCACCUCAAUUCACCCAAUGAGUUAAACCCUACUUUGUCAGAUUUUUAUGAAACUUGGUAUAUAGGUAAAUCAUAGCCAGAAAAGCCAAAAUUUCAAAUUUUAGUUUGAUCGGGUCACUGUUUCCAAGAUAUCGCAUUUCAUUUUUUGUGUGGUCGCUGAAUUUCAAAUUGGGUUUACUCAGCAAUUACUGGUCCGAUAUCAAAAACCAAGGUAUCUAUGGAAAGGAGAAAUCAUAAAGAAUUCAAAUCUGACCUAUAUUUUGACCUUGAAAUUGACAAUAAGGGACACACCCGACCUCAAUGACACCAAUAGAAAAAAGUUAGCCCUAUACAUCUAUUUCAAUGUAUAAAAAAUCUGAAGGGGUUUUCUUUUUAUUUUCACACAAAUUUACCUAGAUGUUGACUUACCCCCAUCUUUAGAUGUGCCAAAUAUCCAUUUUUGAUAUUGGACCAGUAGUUGUUAAGUAAAUGCAAUUUGAAAUUCAGUGACCACACAAAAAAAGUGAAAAAAUGAAAUUGGGGUAUCUCGGAAAUGGUUACUCCAAUCAUGCUAAAAUUUGAGAUUUUUGGCCAUGACUUACCCAUACACAAAUUUUCUUUGCAAUUGGACAAUGUGAGGGUUCAAAUUGUAAUUUUUGGGGGGUGAAUUUCGGUGGAAUGACCCUUGGAAUGCAGUGAGUUCUUGGGUCUAGUCUAUAAUAGCAAUGAUCAAGUUCAACAUUUGUGCAUUUUGUAUAUUUAGACUAAAUACAAUGUAAUAAGUAGGGAAAACUGACUCUUGGAGGGCAGGAGCCAGUUUUCCUUAUUGAUUACAUUCACAAAUAUCUAAAAAAGUUAAUAAAAAACAACAAACCUGAUGAUUUAAUUAUCUUCACACCCCCACGGAAUGUUGUACUUCUGCAAAGUAAUACAAUACAAAACUAUAAGAUAAUGUUGAAAUCAGAAAUCUUUUAAUCAGUGGUUUGUGCACAUUACAUCUGAACAUUAACUUUUAUAUUUUAUUUUUGUGCGAUGCUUGAACCUCAACCACCAUCUUUAAAUUGAUUAGAAUGAUUUAAAAAUGAUUAUUGUUACUCUUUAUCCAUUCGUGUUAUUAUUACUCACUGUAGUUUUUCAAUGACAAAACACUGCUAGAUAAGAUAGCCGGAAUUGCUGUGACCAUUUUAUUUAGUAUAAAAGUACAUUUGUAUACAGUGGGCAUACCUCAGUAAUUAGUGAUUUAUAUUUGGUUAUUGUUUAUUGUAAAUUGAUGUACUCUGGUGCAUUGCCUGUGUUUGGUGUAUUGGUGUAUUCAAGUCCAUUGCCUCUCACUAGUUAAUUUCCUGUCAACCAGCGGCAUGAACAUCGAGAGCCAGAUGCCAAAACAAUGUAUGUACGAAAUAGACUGGUCCAAGAUACUUCAGUGAAACCUGCUCCAGAUCUACUUUGAACUUUGCACUGACUACAGACAAUGAUACUUUUGUCUUGGUUAAUUUGAGUCUUACUUAUUACACUGUUGUUAAUGUCCUUUACAUUCCUUUUAUAUAGUUGUUAAUAAACUGUUUUUUUUUAUAAUAA